GAACCAGUGCAGCAGAGCCACAGGUUUUGCCCAGGGAAGAAGCCCAGGAGUGGAAGAGUUCUGGAGAACAUCUGCACAGUGUAUCAAUGCACCUUACGAGAGAAUAAGAACAGAAAGCAUGGCAACUGCAGUGAAGGAUCAUGAAGGACAUGAGCAUGCCAGCCACCCUUCAGGGGAACACAUUUCUGUCUGUAACGACAUGGAUGGUGAGCAAAGAUGGUGGCCUACAUUUUGGAGCAGUAUUGCAGAUGCCUUAUAUGUAUUCUUCGGCUGCUUAUAUUUCCCCCCCCAUUAU